UACGGAGGGUGCAAGCGUUAUCCGGAUUCACUGGGUUUAAAGGGUGCGUAAGGUGGGCAGGUAAGUCGAGUUGGUGAAAUCUCCGGGCUUAACCCGGAAACUGACCAUUCGGAUACUAUCUGUCUUGAAUACCGUGGAGGUGAAGCGGAAUAUGUCAUGUAGGCGGUGGAAAUGCGUUAGAUAAUGACAUAGAACACCAAUUGCGAAGGCAGCUCACUACACGAAAUAU
rnacentral:rRNA from 1 species